rnacentral:rRNA from 1 species
UGGGGAAUAUUGCACAAUGGGCGAAAGCCUGAUGCAGCAACGCCGCGUGAGUGAUGACGGUCUUCGGAUUGUAAAGCUCUGUCUUUUGGGACGAUAAUGACGGUACCAAAGGAGGAAGCCACGGCUAACUACGUGCCAGCAGCCGCGGUAAUACGUAGGUGGCAAGCGUUGUCCGGAUUUACUGGGCGUAAAGGAUGUGUAGGCGGAUACUUAAGUGAGAUGUGAAAGCCCCGGGCUUAACCUGGGGACUGCAUUUCAAACUGGGUAUCUAGAGUGCAGGAGAGGAAAGCGGAAUUCCUAGUGUAGCGGUGAAAUGCGUAGAGAUUAGGAAGAACAUCAGUGGCGAAGGCGGCUUUCUGGACUGUAACUGACGCUGAGGCAUGAAAGCGUGGGGAGCAAACAGGAUUAGAUACCCUGGUAGUCCACGCCGUAAACGAUGAGUACUAGGUGUAGGAGGUAUCGACUCCUUCUGUGCCGCAGUUAACACAAUAAGUACUCCGCCUGGGAAGUACGGUCGCAAGAUUA